rnacentral:rRNA from 1 species
GCUAAUACCGCAUAAGCGCAUACAGCCGCAUGGGUGUAUGCGGAAAGCUCCGGCGGCACGGGAUGGGCCCGCGCCCGAUUAGCCAGUUGGCGGGGUAACGGCCCACCAAAGCGACGAUCGGUAGCCGGCCUGAGAGGGCGGACGGCCACAUUGGGACUGAGACACGGCCCAAACUCCUACGGGAGGCAGCAGUGGGGAAUAUUGCACAAUGGGGGAAACCCUGAUGCAGCAACGCCGCGUGGGUGAAGGAGCGUUUCGGCGCGUAAAGCCCUGUCAGCGGGGAAGAAGAAAGACGGUACCCGACCAAGAAGCCCCGGCUAACUACGUGCCAGCAGCCGCGGUAAUACGUAGGGGGCGAGCGUUAUCCGGAAUUACUGGGUGUAAAGGGAGCGUAGACGGCGAGGUAAGCCUGAAGUGGAAGCCCGCGGCCCAACCGCGGAACUGCUUUGGGAACUGUUUUGCUGGAGUAUGGGAGGGGUAAGCGGAAUUCCUGGUGUAGCGGUGAAAUGCGUAGAUAUCAGGAGGAACACCGGUGGCGAAGGCGGCUUACUGGACCAUAACUGACGUUGAGGCUCGAAAGCGUGGGGAGCGAACAGGAUUAGAUACCCUGGUAGUCCACGCCGUAAACGAUGAUUACCAGGUGU